GGGCGAUUAACUCAGGGGUAGAGUGAUUUCUUCACACGGAAUAAGUCGCUGGUUCAAAUCCAGCAUCGCCCA
rnacentral:tRNA from 1 species